rnacentral:misc_RNA from 1 species
AAAGUCGUAACAAGGUUUCCGUAGGUGAACCUGCGGAAGGAUCAUUAACAAAUUUUCCACACACCCCACACGUAUUGUGCACCGUUACCUCACUAUGGUGGACCAGUGCUCAAAAUUGAGCCCCACGGAUGCAAGGUUUGUGUUCGAAUUUCACAUUGUGAUUUACGUUCACAUUAUACCAAGCAUCAUUCGUGGAUCCACCACAUGUUUACGCAACCCCUUUAAAAAUUUACUUAGACUUUAAUUAUUAAAUUAAAGACAACUUUUAGCAACGGAUCUCUUGGCUCUC